rnacentral:rRNA from 1 species
GACGAACGCUGGCGGCGUGCUUAACACAUGCAAGUCGAACGAUGAAGCCUAGCUUGCUAGGUGGAUUAGUGGCGAACGGGUGAGUAAUACGUGAGUAACCUACCUUUAACUCUGGGAUAAGCCUGGGAAACUGAGUCUAAUACCGGAUACGACCAAUCUCCGCAUGGGGUGUUGGUGGAAAGCGUUAUGUAGUGGUUAUAGAUGGGCUCACGGCCUAUCAGCUUGUUGGUGAGGUAACGGCUCACCAAGGCGACGACGGGUAGCCGGCCUGAGAGGGUGACCGGCCACACUGGGACUGAGACACGGCCCAGACUCCUACGGGAGGCAGCAGUGGGGAAUAUUGCAAAAUGGGCGCAAGCCUGAUGCAGCGACGCCGCGUGAGGGAUGACGGCCUUCGGGUUGUAAACCUCUGUUAGCAGGGAAGAAGAGAAAUUGACGGUACCUGCAGAGAAAGCGCCGGCUAACUACGUG